ensembl:snoRNA small nucleolar RNA SNORA54
AGGCACUGUUCGUGGCCUGUUAGCCUGGCAGUGGCUGACAGGCUCCAUUCCGGUGCCACAGCAGGUCCAGCGACUCGUGACUGACUGACUCGUGGCUCUCAGUUUCAGGUCCUGGGGACACGG